AUGAAAGAUACGAGUUUGGUGUAUGUUGAGUAACACGCAUACUGUGUUGUGUGUGUUAAAGAAAAUUGCAUAUUGUUUAGAAAUGUUUAACUCUGCUUUAAUUCUAUCUUUGUUACUUUUUAUCAUAGUUAUUUUUAGAAUAUUAUUCUGAAAGGUAUGUGUAGAAAAAUGGACCAAAGAAGACUUUCUCCUAUUUGUGGAUAGUCAUUAGGACUUAUUUGCUAAGAAAACAAUCCUAGGAAAGAUCCUCAGAAUAUUAUUUUUGAAAUGGAAGGAAAGGCUUCAUGGUUUAGAUUGAGUCCUACCUUAAUCUCUUCGGAUCCUAUUUCAUUUAUCAGUUUGGCAUAGGUUUUGCUACCUUGUUGCUCUGUUUUUCUGUGGGGAUUUAAGUAUCCUCUCUGCAGCCAUCAACUCAGAAUUCUUCAGGUAAAUCACUAAAAGUUUACCUUCAUUCUGAAGAUGAUACACUCAUUUCCAGUGGGACCACAAUAGGCUGUCAUUUAAAUGUACUUAUAGGUACUUCUGGAAAUACGAAGUUGAUUUUUUAAAAAGAAUAAAUCACUUGAAG
rnacentral:lncRNA from 1 species